UAGUCACAGCACAAAGCCAAAGUUAUGACAGCAGCAGGAUUUGGAUGACACAAUUCCACCUUCAAACCUGAGGCAGCUCUGUAUCCAGUGUAUGCUGUCCCAUGUACACCCUGUGACCUAGCAGUUACCAGAGCAUGGAUAACCGUUUUGUGAACUUCUUGAUGAAAAGUGGCAUAUAAAUAUUUAAAUUUAACACUUUGGAUAAGCGGAAUGCAGCUGCACCCGAACAAGAUAAAGCUCCUCCAUCAAGAUGAUGAACAAUUUGGAUGAAGAGCCUUCGAGAUGAAGACAAAAGCUGAAGAAGUGAAGCUGAUACAACCCCGGACAGCUAAAGAAUGCCGCAGCCUGCAGAUGAAUAGCCCUCAUUUGUGAAUAUACAGAUUUUCCAUGAUGAAUAAAAACGGAGU